AUACUAGACAUGUAAAUUACAUACUUUCUUUAAGGAGUAAUUAUAAGUUGAGCACGUGAUAAUCAUUUAUAUUACAAGCUUCAUUGUAUUUUUAAGGUUAGUAAGAUGGUGGAGACGGAAGCAGCUGUGGCGGGUUGGCUGCAAUAUGUUGAAAUAGCUAGCUAUUUAUAUUUAAAAAAAUAUGUCAUAUAUUUUGAGUAUGUAAAAUGCUAGUUAAAGAUAUAUUAUAUGAUAUUAUUAUUAUGCAAUAA